AAAAUAAUAACUCCACAAUGAUCAUGUUGUAGAUGAACUCAAAUGGAUCUUCAAUGACGUAUCAGAUGAAGUUUCAAUUCACAAGCAUUUGGUCUCAUGAAAGUUGGCAUUGGCCAAGUCCUUUGAAUAGGGAGUGUUGCCUAAAUUCUAAUUCCAAUAGUCUCAGAUCAAACCAACAGUCCAUACAAGAUGGUUUUUAUGGUUUUUGUUCUUAUUAUGUAUAUUAAGGUCAAAA
rnacentral:lncRNA from 1 species